GAAGGUGGGAAGGGGCGGAGCUCGCCCUGUGGCUGCUCGGUGGUGGGUGAGGUAUCAGCUUUCUCCGCUAGUUCCCACCCUGGGAGUCCUUAGCCCCUGGAAUGCGUGAGGGAGAUGCUUAGGGAGUUCUCGAAGUGGGGCGUAGAGGCAUCGCCUGGCAAGGCCUGGGAGCGAAAAAGAUCUCUACUUCGUGGAGCCGUUGGACGCUACCGGGGAGCCACUGGUGGGGACCUUUUUUGGGCCCCCUUUCCUUCGUGGGGUACUAUGGAGUUCCCAGAACACAGUCAGCAGCUGCUGCAGAGCCUCCGGGAGCAGCGGUCCCAGGGUUUCCUUUGUGACUGCACCGUGAUGGUGGGUAGUACCCAGUUCUUGGCCCAUCGGGCUGUGCUGGCCUCCUGCAGCCCAUUCUUCCAGCUUUUCUACAAGGAGCGGGAAUUGGACAAGAGGGAUCUGGUGUGUAUUCACAAUGAAAUUGUCACAGCCCCAGCCUUUGGGCUGCUUCUGGACUUUAUGUAUGCUGGCCAGCUGACCCUGAGAGGGGAUACCCCUGUGGAGGAUGUGCUGGCAGCUGCCAGCUACUUGCACAUGAAUGACAUCGUCAAGGUGUGUAAGCGGCGGCUUCAAGCCCGGGCCCUGGCAGAGGCAGACAGUACCAAGAAGGAGGAGGAAACCAACUCACAGCUUCCUAGUUUGGAGUUUUUGUCUAGUACUUCCCGUGGCACCCAACCUUCGUUGGCAUCUGCUGAGACAUCAGGCCACUGGGGCAAAGGGGAAUGGAAAGGCUCUGCUGCUCCCUCACCUACUGUCCGUCCUCCAGAUGAGCCACCAAUGUCUAGUGGGGCUGACACUACACAGCCUGGCAUGGAGGUUGACGCACCACAUCUGCGGGCACCUCAUCCACCAGUGGCUGAUGUCUCUCUUGCCAGCCCUAGUAGCUCCACUGAGACCAUUCCUACAAACUACUUCUCUUCUGGCAUCUCAGCAGUUUCAUUGGAGCCACUGCCAUCUCUUGAUGUGGGUCCUGAGAGUCUGAGGGUGGUGGAACCAAAGGAUCCUGGAGGACCACUGCAAGGCUUCUAUCCCCCAGCCUCAGCCCCAACGUCAGCCCCAGCCCCUGUCUCAGCUCCAGUUCCAUCCCGGGCUCCAGCCCCAGCUGAAGCUGAGCUGGUCCAGGUGAAAGUUGAAGCUAUUGUGAUCUCUGAUGAAGAGACUGAUGUGUCAGAUGAACAGCCUCAGGGUCCUGAGAGAGCAUUCCCAUCUGGAGGAGCAGUGUAUGGGGCACAGCCCUCCCAGCCAGAGGCUUUUGAAGACCCAGGGGCAGCAGGACUGGAGGAGGUGGGGCCAAGUGACCACUUCCUGCCAACAGACCCUCAUCUACCCUACCAUCUGCUGCCAGGUGCAGGGCAGUAUCAUCGAGGACUGGUGACCUCACCUCUGCCUGCACCUGCAUCCCUGCAUGAGCCACUUUACCUGUCUUCUGAGUACGAAGCAGCUCCAGGAAGCUUUGGGGUUUUUACUGAGGAUGUUCCCACCUGCAAGACAUGUGGGAAGACCUUCUCAUGCUCUUACACACUACGGCGACAUGCCACGGUGCACACACGUGAGCGACCCUACGAGUGCCGCUACUGCCUGCGGAGCUACACGCAGUCAGGGGACCUCUACCGCCACAUCCGCAAGGCUCACAAUGAGGACCUGGCCAAACGCAGCAAACCAGAUCCAGAAGUGGGACCCCUUCUAGGGGUGCAGCCUCUCCCUGGCUCCCCAACAGCAGACAGACAGAGCAGCAGUGGUGGAGGGCCACCUAAAGAUUUUGUACUUGGCCCCAAAAACUAACAUCUAAGGGAGCAUGAGCUGAUGCUAGGCUGCUCUUACCAUCCUUAGAUGGCAGCUCAGAAGGUGCGGUGGCUCAUGCCUGUAAUACCAACACUUUGGGAGGCCGAGGUGACCAGCCUGCCCAACAUGGUGAAACCCCAUCUCUACUAAAAACACACAAAAAAUUGUCUAGGUAUGGUGGCUCACACCUGUAAUUACAGCACUUUGGGAGGCCGAUGCGGGCGGAUCACUUGAGGUCAGGAGUUCAAGACCAGACUGGCCAACAUGGUGAAACCGUCUCUACUAAAACUACAAAAAUUAGCCAGGAGUGGUGGUGGGCGCCUGUAAUCCCAGCUACCUGGGAGGCAGAGGCAGGAGAAUCAUUUGAACCCAGGAGGUAGAGGUUGCAGUGAGGUGAGAUCACGCCACUGCACUUCAGCCUGGGUGACAAGACUGAAACUCCACCUCAAAAAAAAGAAAAGAAAAAUUAUCCAGGCUUGGUGGCGGGUGCCUGUAAUCCCAGCUACUCAGGAGGUUGAGGCAGGAGAAUUGCUUGUACCUGGGAGGCGGAGGUUGCAGUGAGCCGAGAUCGCAUCAUUGCAUUCCAACCUGGGCAACAAGAGUGAGACUCUGUCUCAAAAAAAAACAAAAACAAAACAUUGUUUGAAGGGCUGUUGGGGUGGCUCAUGCCUGUUCUCUCAGCACUUUGGGAGGCCGAGGUGAAGGAUUGCUUGUGGGUAGGAGUUACAGAUUAGCCUGGGCAACAUAGUGAGGCCUGCCUGUCACUAUAAAAUAAUAAUGAAAAGUUGAACUUAGUUAACCAAGAACUGUAAGUUGUUUUCUUUUUCUGUCCUUUUGUGUAUUUGGCUUUGUUGCCUUGUUACCUCUGCUUUCCCCACUGAAAGACCUUUUGUUGAUAGAACAGGUACUGUAUUGAUGAUUUGAAAUUUUUGCCUCAAGUUGUAGAUAUGAAUUGACUUCUUUGAAGAUGAGAAACUGGAAGGCAGGAAACACUAAGGCCCAUAGUGGCUGAUUAGUGGCGGGAGGUUGAGGGUCUGAGGUGCUGUGGCAAUGAUGGGUGCUUGCAAAACCUAAAGCAAGAAACUCAGGAUGAGAGGAUCUUACAGUUCAUGUAGUCCAACACCCUCACUUGAAAAGUGUGACGACAACAGUCUAGGGAGGUUUAGGUUACUCACCUAAGGUCACGCAGGUGGUUACUGACAGUGGAGAUAGCAAAGAAAUGGGAGUUUGGGGUGCCAUCAUGGGAUGGGGGCAAAAAAGAGCUCUGGGAAUGUGUGAGGAGUCUGGCCCCGCCUGUGCUGUAGGAGGGCCUAAAGGUUUGCCUACAAACUUUUUCUUGGUACAUAAGGACAUGAGUGCAAAUAAAGCAGGAAGGAAAACAGAAAUAGGCUGGUCGCGGCUCACGCCUGUAAUCCCAGCACUUUGGGAGGCCGAGGCGGGCGGAUCACAAGGUCAGGAGUUGGAGACCAGCCUGGCCAACAUAGUGAAACCCCAUCUCUACUAAAAAUACAAAAAAUUAGCUGGGCGUGGUGGCAGGCGUCUGUAAUCCCAGCUACUCGGGAGGCUGAGGCAGGAGAAUUGCUUGAACCCAGGAGGCGGAGGUUGCAGUGAGCCGAGAUCACGCCAUUGCACUCCAACCCUGGGUGACAGUGCGAGACUCUAUCUCAAAAAAAAAAAAAAAAAAGAAAAGGGGGAAAAUGACAAGUAAAUAUUCUUCUCUCUUUUCGAGUCUGUGUCAUAUUCAGCACUGUGAACCCUUACCAGCAAGUGACUAUUUUUGAGUUACAGGAAGGAAAGGUGAGCAGCCAUGUGGCUAAAGAAAGCUCCUUAACUAGGACAUAUGGGAAGCAAAAGAUGGUUAACAUUUUUCUGCUGAAUGAAUUCUACAUUCUUUCACAUUCUUUGUGUUGAAAUAAACUUCUAGCUUAUCUUUCAAA